rnacentral:rRNA from 1 species
AGUGGCGAACGGGUGAGUAAAGUAUCGGAACGUGCCCAGUCGUGGGGGAUAACGUAGCGAAAGUUACGCUAAUACCGCAUACGAUCUAUGGAUGAAAGCGGGGGAUCGCAAGACCUCGCGCGAUUGGAGCGGCCGAUAUCAAAUUAGGUAGUUGGUGGGGUAAAGGCUCACCAAGCCGACGAUCUGUAGCUGGUCUGAGAGGACGACCACCCACACUGGGACUGAGACACGGCCCACACUCCUACGGGAGGCAGCAGUGGGGAAUUUUGGACAAUGGGCGCAAGCCUGAUCCAGCCAUGCCGCGUGCGGAAAGAAGGCCUUCGGGUUGUAAACCGCUUUUGUCAGGAAAGAAAAGGUUCUGGUUAAUACCUGGGACUCAUGACGGUACCUGAAGAAUAAGCACCGGCUAACUACGUGCCAGCAGCCGCGGUAAUACGUAGGGUGCAAGCGUUAAUCGGAAUUACUGGGCGUAAAGCGUGCGCAGGCGGUUAUGCAAGACAGAGGUGAAAUCCCCGGGCUCAACCUGGGAACUGCCUUUGUGACUGCAUAGCUAGAGUGCGGCAGAGGGGGAUGGAAUUCCGCGUGUAGCAGUGAAAUGCGUAUAUAUGCGGAGGAACACCGAUGGCGAAGGCCACUCCCUCUGGGCCUGCACUGACGCUCAUGCACGAAAGCGUGG